AUGUCUUCUUCACACCGAUUUUUACCUGAUGGCUGUCCAAUUGGAUAUAUUCUUUCCUCUUUGCCUACUGCCAAGAACCUCCUCAAGGAGGUGGAUAACCUCUACAACAUCAAGAUGCUGUGACUUCCCAAGGCGCUGCAUGAGAUGAGCUGGCUCAACUACUUUGCCCUUGGAGGAAACAAGCAGGCCCUGGAAGAGGCAGCAACAGCUGAUCUGGAUAUCACCGAAACAAACAAACUAACAGCAGAAGCUAUUCAGACAUCCCUGAAAUCGGCCAAAACAUGAAAGGUAAUACAACUAGACAAAAUGAUAGUAGAAAAGAAGAAGAAACAAAUAAACAUAAGAAUCUUCAAACUGCAAGAGUCAAAAGGUGUCCUCCAUCCAAGAAGAGAACUCAGUCAGUACAAGGAAAAGGCAAAAGGAAAAGGUCAAGCUGUGCUAACACUGUUACCCCAGCGUGGGCUGAUUGAAGGCGUCCAUGGUGAAACCAACUCCAGGCCUGACACCCAGGUUUGACUCGAGGGUCUUCAAGACCCCGGCCUGCACACUCCGGCAGCAGGAGAGCGGAUUUCCUACAUCUCAGGGAAUGGCAGCCCUCUUGCAGGCAGCAAUGAGAUCUUCCUCACUGUGCUAGUGGGCGGCAGAGAGAGCCUGCGAUUAUUGGCCAGUGACUUGCAGGGGCACAGUAUGGCUCAGCUGGAUCCAGAGGCCCUGAGAAACACUAAGAAGCUCUCCAACCAUCUCACCCAAAUCUGCAGCAGCAUACGGACCCACAAAUGGAAGCCGAAGUUGACAGGAUGGACUUUUAAUGGGCACCUCUGGGACCCUGAAGAGACUUCUUCCCUUCAGGCUUAUUGUUUGAGUGUGAAGUUCUAGAGCAAGGGCCCAUGUUGCUCUGGGGAAAUUCAGGAAUUCAGUCAUGAUCUUCCAACACCAGUUAGGUAGAGCUGUGCUGUUCAGCCCCCCAUUUCAGCCUACCCCAGCCAUUGCUUGCUGGCUCCAUACCAUGGAAGCUUCUGGUCAGUCUCCCAGCUGAAUCCUCCCUGCCCUCUGAGCUGCUCCUUCUGCCUCCUGUAACUCGGCAUCCUCUUCACCCUGCCCUCCCUCCAGUUGUGGAGGCACAGAAGAACCCUGUGUUCUCAGGAAGACUGCCUUUACCACCUCUACCCAGAGAACCUCUGCAUCUGGCAUCUCUGCUCUCUAUGCUUGAGACUGGGAUGUUUAGGCUCAGUUAAAUGAGCUCUGGGCCAUGAGAGGGCAGGUACAGAAAGGUGGGGGAGCUGUACAGAUCAGCAGAACAGGACAUUUGGCAGCAGUGACCUCAGCAGGGAACAUGCCCGUCUCCCCUCCUGCACUCAUCACACCUCCCCCUCCCAGCCCUCCUCUUCCUCCUCCUCAUCUUCCUCCUAUGGGAGGUGCUAAAUGGGACUUUGGGGUCUUUCACCUGCUGUGCCCAGUAGUUCUUUGGAAACCUGCUUGUGGAACAGUGUUUUAUGUUUAUCCCUGUUUACUGGAGACCAAAUACUGGUUUGGAGACAACUUCCAUGUCUUGCUCUUCAACCUGCCCAGUUAGUGGGAAUUUGGAUAAGGUAAUUGUAGGGCUUAGAUUCUGGGGGUUAUAUGUGAUUGUCCACAGAAUAACUGUCUCUAAGCUGUCCGUGGUCCAGUGGUCAGCUUGGAAACAGUUAUUCUAUGGUCACUUCAGUCACUUCAGAGAGCACUUCUCUCUUAUGGAGCUCAUGGGCGCAGGGGCGGGUGUGACUUGGUUGGUGGUCUCAUUCCAUGUGUGCCUGUGGCUGGGGCAUGGGCUUUGUUAAACGGAGUCAGAAGUGAGGUCCUCAUGCUCCAGCCAGCCUCUCUGCCCUGGAGAAUCAUGCACUGUGUUCUAAGAAUUUGAGAACUAGAGUCCUCACCCCCAGGCUUAAGGACACACGGCUUUCUCAUGUAGGGAUCUUUGUGGUAGUUACUAUUUUGCAAGAAGACCAUUUUGGUGAAGUCCUGUUCAAGUUGUAUUCUUUUAAGUUCUUUUAUUCUCCUUUCCGUGAGAUUUUUGUAUGUAUAGUUCUUCUGAGUAAUGGUAUCUCUAAACUGAUUGUUCUAGUCAGAGCUGGUACCUGCUUUCAAUAAAUUCUGGUUUUGUGAAAAAAAAUUAUUGGCAAAUGAUUGUGGCAAGAAUGUGAAGCCAGAAAAUUCAGAAAAGUGAUAUGGUAUGUUAUUGAUGCAGUUCAUUUAAUUAAAACAAGACUUCCUUGAAAAUUGUAAAAGACCUUUACUAUUUACAAACUAAUAGUUUGUAAUCAUGCUCAGAAUUUUAAUGAAAAUUUGUUGUACUCAGAUAUUUGUUGUUUGUCUUCUGGAACUCGUGGUGCUAAAUUCAAAGAUAAGUCACACUUUUUUUUUUUUUAAACAACAGCAACAAACAAGUAUUCCAAAUUUGCUGACAUUUUCUGGGUGGACAGUAGGUUCUCAGUCAUAUGCUACUUAGCUUAACAUUUUACAACAUAGAUACUUUAUCCUUUUAUAGCAAAAAUACUAUUUGAUUGAUAUUUGACAAAGACCUCCUUUUGAUAUGUAACUUGUACAAAGUAAAUAUAAUUUUUAAAUGAGUAUUUAGAAACAUUUCAUCAAUUAUUUGAGUAUUUGAUUUUGUAAUUAAAAUCAAGGCCCAUUUGUCAAUACACCAUUUUCCCAAUCUUCAUGUUUCAAAUAUGUGGAAGCAAACUUUUUUUUUUUUUUUGAGACGGAGUUUCGCUCUUGUUACCCAGGCUGGAGUGCAAUGGCGUGAUCUCGGCUCACCGCAACCUCCGCCUCCUGGUUUCAGGCAAUUCUCCUGCCUCAGCCUCCUGAGUAGCUGGGAUUACAGGCACACGCCACCAUGCCCAGCUAAUUUUUUGUAUUUUUAGUAGAGACGGGGUUUUACCAUGUUGACCAGGAUGGUCUCAAUCUCUUGACCCUGUGAUCCACCUGCCUUGGCCUCCCGAAGUGCUGGGAUUACAGGCUUGAGCCACCGUGCCCAGCCAGAAGCAAACUUUUAAUAAUUAUUUUAGAAGCAAAAUUUCUAGGUCUUCCAAAAAAGUGUUUUGGUGAAUUUUAAACUGUUGAACAUAGCAAAUGUAAGACAAUUAAAUUAGUUUGAAAAAAAUGACAUUAAAGAACAUGGAAAUCAGCCAGCCACAUUUCAACAAAAGCUUUUGUAUCAUAGUAUGGAUAUUUACUCAUUAUAGUUAACAAAUUAAUUCUUUCAUUUGAAUUAAUAUUUUACAAGGCAGCUGUGUCAAUUACAUCACACAAGUUGUUUGUUUCCUAUGCAUGUAAAAGUGGUGUUUAGAUUAGACUGUAGUCCAUUAUGUGUGCAGUGGCAUGAUGUCUAAUAACGUGUGUAUGUACCUUAAUUUAAAAAAUAAUUGUCAGAAAUUGCUGACGAUCAUCGGAGCCUUCAGCAAGUUGUAAUCUUUUUGCCGGUAGUGGGUCUUGCCUCAAUGUUGAUAGCUAUUGACUGAUCAGAGUGGUGGUUGAUACAAAUUGAGGUUGCUGUAACAAUUUAUUUAUUUAUGUAUUUAUUUAUUUAUUUUUUGAGACGGAGUUUUGCUCUUGUUACCCAAGCUAGAGUGCAAUGGCGCGAUCUUGGCUCACCGCAACCUCCGCCCCCUGGGUUCAGGCAAUUCUCCUGCCUCAGCCUCCUGAGUAGCUGGGAUUACAGGCACGCGCCACCAUGCCCAGCUAAUUUUUUGUAAUUUUAGUAGAAACGAGGUUUCACCAUGUUGACCAGAAUGGUCUCGAUCUCUUGACCUCGUGAUCCACCCGCCUCGGCCUCCCAAAGUGCUGGGAUUACAGGCUUGAGCCACCGCAUCCGGCUCACAAUUUAUUAAAAGGAGGCAGUGAUACAGUUUGCCACAUCAAUUGAUGCUUUCUUUCAUGAAAGAUUUCUCUGUAGCAUGACCAUCAUUAAUGGUCACUUCAUUUUAAAAUGUGAAGGUUUGCAAGCUAAAUACAAGGUCCAGAAGCAAAUCUAGGCAAGAAUUAAUUUUAACACAAGAUUUGGAGAUGCAUAGGGAUGAGUAACAAUUGAAAACCUCUUAAGGUCUUCUUGAUUUAAAUUAAUGGGUUUCUCAGUAUUUUGAAAAAUAAAGAAAGGUUGAGUGGGUCUUACCAAGAAAAACAAGAUCUUGCAUUCAAUUUUGUGUCAUCUUAAAUUCAAAUGAUUAUUAAAGCAGUUAUGACUGAAAGGCCGUAGCAUCGCAUGAAGCAGUUAUGACCAAGAGGCCGUAGCAUCGCAUGAAGCAGUUAUGACCGAAAGGCCGUAGCAAUGCAUGACACAUUACUGUGAUUGAUUCUGCACAGUCUCAGUGGCCCUUACAUUGAUUUUCCUCAAUCAUCUCAUAACGGAUGAUUUCUGUUCGGCCCACUACUUGCUUAUUAUUUAUGAAUUUCUGCUUUUAUUGCUACCAUCAUUUGUUUAAUGGAAUCUACACAGUGGAAAGAUUUUGCUCUGUUUAUCAUAGUACUCUGAAUUGUAAAUAAUGGAUUCAGAGAAGAAAAAUGUCACAUGUUUCAAGUGAGCAUAUGAACUGCCUCAUUUGAAGAUACCAUCUAAUACGGUGAAGAAACUGGGAGAUUCAAAAUGAAUCAGAAGUAGAUUUGUGUGUGUGUGUGUGUGUGUGUGUGUGUGUGUGUGAGAGAGAGAGAGAGAGAGAGAGACAAUAAUCAGAAAAGCUUAGAAGAUACUAUGGAUGACAGUAAUGAGUGAGAAGAGGAAACUGGCAUAAAUAUAAGGGGAGAAAUUUAAAUGUUUCUAAUAUAUCUACAUGGUUGAAAUCCUAACAGAUAAUCCACCUUGAAUAUUAAUAUUUAAUUGCUCUAAAGGGACUACUGCAAAAGAUAAGGGCAGUUUCUCUCAGGGCAGACAGUCGUUUGAUGCAGUCUUCUCUCUUCUCUCAAAAUAACUAGCAAAGGAAAAGUGGAGGGAGCUCACUUCUGGCACUAGCUGAUGGUGAUCUUACCCAUGAGAGCCAGUCCUGCCAGAAAUGUACUCCGAUCCCAGCAUUGACAGCUUUGUACUCCUCUGUAUUUCAACUCUUCCUUACCAAUCUGUUUCUUAGUCACUGUGUUUACUGUUCUUUCCAGUGCGAAUCACUGAAAGUCUCUUUACUACCUUCAUGCUCUGUCAGUUAUCAUUGCAACUUCUGUAAUAGAAUCUACAACUUCUCGGUGUUCACUACCCCUUGAUUACAUAAACAUGCUCAAGUUUAUGUCAUCGAGUUAUGUAAUCUCCUGUCUUAAAUGUUACUGCAGAAAACAGAAAACCUUCCUUGACUUCAUGCUCCCCAUUUUAUAAUAGUCAUUCAUUUGUUCCUUUAUUCAACAAACUUUGUUUUGCAAACCUAUUGUGGUCCAGGCAUUGUUCCACAGUAUGGAAUUAUAGACUCACAGAACAAUCAACAUGCAGAUAUGCAAGGAAAUGGAAGGUAAUUAAGAAUGAUAAGAAAAAUAAAAGAUAAUACAUGUUAACAGGCCAAUUGGGUUAUCGGUGAAUGAGAUAUAUGCUAAGAAAAUAGUGCUGUCAUAAUCUAGGGUCAGAGUGUUCCUGGCACUCACUAGCUCCAUAGAUAGUGUCAUGACCCUCAAAUCCAAAAGGAGUUUUGACAUGUUUGAAAAACAGAAAUAAGUCCACUGUGGGUGAAAGAAGUUUGUAAUGGGGGACAUGAGACAUGUCAGAGGACAGCAGGAGCCAGAUCACACGGGACCUUGUAAAGUAGGAUCCUGUGGGGUAUGGAGUGUUGCUUUUAUUUAAAGUAUAAAUGGGAAGACAUAGGAGGAUUUUAAAGAGGAAAGUGUCAGAUGACCUAAUGAGGCCUUGUAGCCAUUACUUUGGAUGUUUUGGGGGGAUGGAGACAAAGGAAAGCAUAGAAACAGGAAAACCAAGUAGAAGACCUCAGAGGUUUUAGGAGACUAGAGAUAAAAUUGCUGUGUUUCUAUUAUUAAAGUAAAUGUAGACAAGUGUAAGGUUUCAAAUGUGUUUUUGAUUUAAAAUUACCAUUUUGAAGAGGUAGGUACUAAAUAUAAUGGAAAUCUAAAGUAACUCUUAAGUAACUGGGUACAUAUUAAUAACUAUGCUUGUGACUGAGAUGCCAAAGUAUGGGUGAGGAACUAAUGUAAGGAAGGAUCAAGAGAUGUGUUCACGCUUGUUAAAUGUAAGGCAAUUCGUUAUAGAAUCCUGGAAUUUGAGGAAAUACUCAAGUCUGGACUUAGAAAUUCAGAGUAAAUAUUUAAACUGAAAGAUCCCAAAAUAUAUGAGAAUCUGUAGAAAAAAAAGAAAACCAUCAACAGGGAAAGAGAUCCCAAAGCAGAGCUCUGGGACCUAUCACAUUUAUACGACUUAUCGCAUUUAUAGAGGAGGAAAGGAAAGCAGUGUGAGAAAAAUGGAGACGUGGUAUCAUAGAAGAGGAGAGGAUGUUUAAUAGGCAAAACUGUCAAUCAAGUUGGAUCCUGCGGAGAGGACGAGUAAAAUGGGGUGUAACGUGUGGCUAAUGUAUUUGGAAAAUUGAAAGUCGCUGGUGUCUUUGAGAAGAGUAAAAUCAUUCCAGUAAUGGAUAGGUUAUGUCAGGUGGAGUGAGUACAAGAAAACUGGGAAGGAAGAAGGAGGUGGAGAUGAUGAUUACAGCUCUUUUAUUAAAUUUUGCUGCAAAGGAAACAGCUUAGUUUAUAAAGCUGCUAUCUCGAUAUCAUUAUUGUCAAUAGAACUUAGUGCAGUCACUUCUACGAAGACACUUUUGAAUGGCCUCUAAAUGCAUUACUUUCAUGAGCUUAAAUACUAAAGUUUUUAAAAUUUUGAUUUAUGAGGUUUAGUUUAGUUUCUAUAACAUAGAGAAAAUUCUUAAUUUCAAGCUACAAGUAGAUAAGAAAAAUAUUGGUUAAAGAAAAUAUUUAAGGGUGAUUUAAUUGUGAUAUAAAAGUGAUUUUACCCUGAAUUUAGGGAAAAUGGUUAAACUAUCAUUAGGUGGUUAACCACUGCUAUUUCAAAAUGUUGAUUCAAUAAUAAUUUUAAGUAUAAAAACUGAAUCUGUAUUCAUUGUCACUGUAAUGUGAAACUCAGAAAAAAUGAGUUAAUUUGAAGUAUCUUUUUAUCCCAAAAAUGUUACCUCUAGAGAAUUGAAACCUAAAGUGAUAUCCAAUGAAGGCUGUCUCUGUGCUCAGUGGUGCCAAUUUUGAGCUUCUGCAAAAACUAUAAAAUAUUGUACAUUUUAGUAUGGAAAUGCUGUACAAACCUGCCACCUGCUACUCCUUUUACUGAUUUUCUUAAUUUUUCCAAGAAUUAUUAACAUUUGGCUGCAUUUUUAUAAACUUUCAAAGGUUUGUAAAACUUUUAGCCAUGCAGGUCCUUUUGACUAAUGUAAGUCAUUGCCAAUUGGAAUAAAAAUUGGCUUAGCUUAUAGAGUUCUUUUAUCAAAGGAGCCAUGUAGAACCCUAUGAUAAGUCAAUUUUUAUGAUGGUCCUUCUAGAAUUUUAACUACAGAGUUUUCUUUCUUUAUUAUGGGAUACAAUUUACAUUGAUGUCUAGUAUCUCUGUCUCUAAAUGAUAAGGUAUGUAUUAGAAUUAAGCAUUUCAGGACCUAUCAAAAUUUAAAUGAUUUAUAUAAAUACUGUUUUUCUUGAUGAAGUGAUACAUUAAAAUCUUAACCCACCGUCUUUAAUAAAUGCUUAAUAGAUGUUCUAAGGAAAGGAACUUUUGGACUGCAACAUGAAUUUUAAAUUUAAUUUAAUAAGGUAAAUAUAUGUAGUAAGUGUUCUUUAAGCAGAAGCAGUUUAAAAAUUGAGUUCUUUUUUAGUAGUGCCUUAAAUAUGUCACUAAAAUAAUUCUUUCUUAAUAGGGUACCCAUAUUUUAUAAAAUAGGGUUAGAUUAUUUUCUUGAAAGAAAUAGGCACUUUUUAAUGAUCAUAAAGCUUACCACUCAUGCUUUUUGCAUGAUAAGAACUGUGAAAACCUAAUGAAGUAAAUUGUAGUUUAAGUGCGAUGUACCGAAUUAUUACUGCAUCACUGUCAACCCAUUUUACAUUGGAAAAGAAGAUGCUAAUUAUGCUCUGCCAAUUAUAUGUACAUGCCUUCUUUAAGAUAGAACAUUUAAGAAUGAGUCUUGCUUUUUAGAAUACUUCAUAAAAAGCAAGAGUGCAAAAUAAUGGGUUGUUAAUUGAAAAGAUAUAAUGCAGAUUGAGAUAUUUUAACAAACAGUUAAAAUUUGGCCUUCCUGCCCAAUAUGUUAAAAUUUUCAGUGCAAGGGGUCUCAAAUCGAUAAUUUAUAUGGAUUCAAUAUGACAAUUAGGAUGAGUCUUAAAGACAUUGAAUCUAUGAAAAUAAAACCAUUCACCUUAAGAUUUAUUGAAGAUUUUAUUUUGUUUGUUCAAAGUAAACAAAUGAACUCUAAUACCAUACACAAAAUAAUAGAUAUUAUGGAAUAUUAUUUAGGGUCUUAAACAUACUAUUUUUACAUAUCAAAUCUCAAAUAACUGAAGAAUUAAUGAUUCAGUCAGCAACCAACAUAAUGAAAUAAGCUACAAAGACACCUUAAAGAAUAGUAACUGUCUCUAGGUGGCACAAUAUAAUAUAGGAAUGUAACCAGCUGGCAAGUAACCUGCUGUUUAGCUGCUCUGCCCACUCCAGCCUCCAGAAUUCUGAUCACAGUUCUCAGCUGAUUUAACUAAUUUAAAUAUUAUUCCUAAGCUAUAUAAGAAAACACAUUAACUUAGAAUUUUACAAGGACAACAAAAAGAAUUGUUAAGAAACAUUAUGAUCACACCGUAGAACUAGUCAUAUUAAGCAUUAAAAUCUACAAGGCAUUAUAAAUAUGGCUGGGCAUGGUGGCUCUCACCUGUAAUCACAGCACUUUGGGAGGCCAAGGCAGGAGGAUCACUUGAGCUCAUGAGUUCAAGAUCAACCUGGGCAACAUGGCAGAACCCCGUCUUUACUGUAAAUUGAAAAAUUCAGGCUGUGUGCGGUGACUCACGCCUGUAAUCCCAGCACUUUGGGAGGCCAAGGCGGGUGGAUCAAGAGGUCAAGAGAUCAAGACCAUCCUGGUCAACGUGGUGAAACCCCGUCUCUACUAAAAAUACAAAAAAUUAGCUGGGCAUGGUGACGCGUGCCUGUAAUCCCAGCUACUCAGGAGGCUGAGGCAGGAGAAUUGCCUGAACCCAGGAGGCGGAGGUUGCGGUGAGCCGAGAUCGCACCAUCACACUCCAGCCUGGGUAACAAGAGUGAAACUCCGUCUCAAAAAAAAAAAAAAAAAUUUAGCCCGGCAUGGUGGUGUCCACCUGUAAUUCCAGCUACUCUGAGGUCUGAGGUGGGAGGAUCACUUGAGUCCAGGAGAUGGUUACCGUGAGCACUCAUUGUGCCACUGCACUCUAGCCUGGGUGGCAGAGCAAGACCCUAUCUAAAAAACAAAAACAAAAAAGAACAAAACAAUAAUAUGCAGCAUUGUCCUAAGCAUCAUAUCAAAUUUUUCAUUACUAGAGAAUGCAUAGAACACUUACACAUUUUAGACAGGAGGUGAGUUAUUAUAUAAUAAAACACAAUGAAAUUUUAGGAGCUUCCAUGUUAAAAAGUGGUACUAUUUUGCUCACGCAUUAAUUCAAUUUAGGGCAUUUGGAUUAGGGUCAAGGUGGAGGGGAUGGUUUUGCUUGCUCUAUGUAUUCACAGACACAUCUAGUGUCACUGCCAUUCACCCAGUAAUACCUGAGAGUUCCCCACUGUAUUUUGUGAAUUCAGCCAGUGGAGUAAGAAAACUAGAAAACAUGAAGAAUGGCAUUGAAGUUUUUUUGUUUUGUUUUGUUUUUAUUUUUCCAGCUCAGAAAGUAGAAUACAUACAUCCAGCUAAUUAUAUUGGUUAGAACUCCCUCCUGUGGCCUCAAACAAGUAUAGAGGAGCCUGGGAAAUGCAGUCUAGUUGUGUACCAGAGGAAAAGGGCUUGAUAAGCCCACGGCAUUAUCUCUAACAGUCAAAGUUUCUAGUUUAAGUAAUGUAUUUGGGUUGAGUUCUUUAUUUUUCCUAUGUCAACACCAUUUUCACACCCUCAUGUGUGAAUAAAUGCCUUCCACCAUAUUUUCUUAAGAUCUCACACAUCUGCAUAUUUCUGUAUGUCUCUCGUAUUGCUACCUUAUUUCAGAGUCUUACCCUUUCUAAUUGAGAUUGAUAAAUCAUCAUAUAAAAGAUGAUCUUCCCCUGAAUGUUUUCCAUAUAGAUUCCCAAGUGAUCUUUUAAAAAGCACGCAUGAUCCUGUCACUUUCUGCUUACAUCCUUCAACGGUUAUCUUCCUCUAUAGCGAGAGCCCAAAUACCAAGCAGGUAAUAUAAAGACCUAAAUCCUUAGCACAAUAUGGCAGAAAUGGAAGUUUCUAAUAUCAAGGCUUUCAUUCUGGUUGUAGAAUCUUUCUUGUUGUACCACAUCUUAGAUGUUGAAACUUGGCAGAUUUUUCCUGAAGCCAAAGCCUAUAUUCUUUUCCUACUGUGACAGGUGAUAAGUUCCCGUGAGCCAUCCAUAAUCUCACGGAUCUCAAGGAAUCAUACCCAUGUGAUAAAAGAUUAAUAUUUAGUAAGAACAUUGUUACAAUGGAGAACUGGGCUACCUAAAACUAAAUAAUGCAUGCUUUGAUAUUGAAUAAAUCACUAGGUUUAAGAUAUAUUACCUUUACUGCAUUGCUACAAUGAAUAUAUACAUUUAAAAUAUAAAUAGAGAUAUAAAAAUGUUUGUUUCAUUGUAUACAAUCCAGUAAAAAUAAUACACUAAAUAUAUACACAUAUGUGUGUAUAUAUUCAUAAAAAGAGAUAUAUAUUUAUAAAGAUACAUAUGUAUAUAUGCAUCUUUUUAUAUAUAAAGAUACAUACAGUGUAUGUCUGUAUAAUAAUUACAGACACAAGACUAGACCUUGUGAUCACCUUCUUCAGAUCUUGCCAGAAAUGAGUGCCCCAUACCACAAGCUCUGCCUUGCUUCCAUUGAAGAACCAUUCCUCAAGCUCUUCUGCUCCUAUUCCAGGUAAUGCUAGAAUUCAUUGCCUCGUUUGACAAGGAAGACUGUCAUUCUGUGAGUACUGAUGUCCACUCACAGUGAUCAGGGCAGGUGUCGCCUCCCUGGCAUCCUGAGGGAAGGAUGCACUGCCACUUUUAUAUUAUGUUUUGUCAUGAAUUAUGUUGUCCUAAGGGUAGGAAUGAUAUGGUUAUCAUUUCACACAGUCCAACUGAGAUCUGCUUGACAUUUUUCAUUUUAAAGUAAUCAGAUUUGGACAUUGGAUAGUAUAGUGUCAUUAAGUUACCUGAUAACUCUUGUACCUCCCCAGAUGCACUUUAGAUAAUUUUAUACGGUUGCUUCUUUUUCUCACCCUGAGGCUGCCUCUAAUUAAAGGCAGGUGGCUCAUCCCCUAUAUCCAUAUAUCCAGCCUGCAAAUAAAAAUGUAUCACUGACUUCUGAAGCAAAGAGGAAGUUUCUAUUAUCCAAUUUCCUAAGUCCUCAUUUUAUUUCUCAGAAGUAACACAAAUGACCCUUUCUUUUGGGGAAACCCAGUCCACAGGCUGUAGUUUAGCUCUUUGACCUCAGUAAGACAACCAUACACAUAACUCCAACAUUCAUUCAUUAAUUCAAUAUAUAUAGUAUACCAACCAUGAAAUAGACAUUGAUGAUUAUUACAGUCAUGAAAACAAACUGUCACUUAUUUUCUAAGAGGAGUAGAUGAUCGUAAAUAAAAAUAUUUCGUGUAAUAGAUUUGGAUGAAAGACAAAAGAUGAUGCAAGUGGCUUCUAAUUUAUGGAACAGUCAAAAUAGUGUAAUAACCAAAUGCAGGUUACUCAAUCCCAAAGAAAUAGAAAACGCCGUAUGUGACACCAAAUAGGAUUGCUGCAAGCUGGAACCAAUUCUUUUCAUCACUUACCAGAGGAUCCCCAAGAAGACUUCAGUCUAAUCCCUUUCCUCUUCAUUCUAUAAUCUCUAAAUCUGGCUUAUUCAGGGAUUUGUAAAAUUACGGUUAUACAGCAUGAACUACAUGAAGAUUCAGUUAUCUUCACUGGGGUUUCAGAUCCAAAUUUCUCCAUUGCUUAUUUAUAUUUUCAAGAGUGAUUAUUUAAUAUUCUUGUUUCACUUUCCUUUAGGACCCAAGAAACGAAUUUACUUGUAAAACGCGGCAUCUUUUGCAAAAUGGAAGAGCAUAUAACAAACAGCAUUUUAAACGAUCAAAACGGUGUGGGUUUAGGUAGAUCCUAAGUGGCAGUUCUAUUAAGCUGACAUUUUCCUUUCCUGAACCACUUUUCUCUGGAAAGUACUAGCAUAAUCUUUUCUAUACGACAGUCUCAUUUUAUGACAAAUUACAGAAUAGUAAUUACUCCUUUUUUGAAAAAAUAUAUUCUUCAUUAUAAAUGCAAUUUUAAAAAGUUGGCUCAUUUCUUCUUGAUAUUUAGUAUAUAAUGGGAAUUUAUUUUCAAUUUUAUUACAGAAUCUAAUGGAAAAAAAUUCAAUAUGCAAAUAAUUACC